UGUGUAGGCGGUUGUUUAAGUUUGGUGUGAAAUCUCCCGGCUUAACCGGGAGGGUGCGCCGAAUACUGAAUGACUUGGAGUGCGGGAGAGGAAAGUGGAAUUCCUGGUGUAGCGGUGAAAUGCGUAGAUAUCAGGAGGAACACCGGUGGUGUAGACGGCUUUCUGGACCGUAACUGACGCUGAGACACGAAAGCGUGGGUAGAAAC
rnacentral:rRNA from 1 species